CUUUAAAUAAAAAGGAUAAACAUGAUGGAUUUCCAUUAUCUCAAGCAAACUUUCAAUAUUGUGUGUUGCUUCUCUUAAAUGAGAUAAAAACCCAAGGAUGCAAAAAACUUAAUAUAAAAUAGUGUGAAGAAGAAGUAGUAACUGAAAUGAACAGCAUAAUAGAAUUUGAUAAGUUUGACUCAGCACUUGACAAUGUUUCAUCUAGUAACUCUGUAGUAUCUCUGCAGUUAAACAAAGAGUUCAAAAUAUUGGUGGUAAGAACUGUCAAAAACUUGUGAUAGCUAUGAUGAAGAGUUUUAUGACAAAUUCACUCAUGGCCAAAUCUAAUAUGGCAGCUGGAAAAGGCAAAGGAUCUUUUUAGUCUAACCAAGCUAUACAACUUAAUAAAAGUUUGUGCAUCGACUUCUCACGAAUCAUACACAGAGUCGAUUGUCGAUGCAAUAAUUACUGAUUCGUGAAAGCGGGCAACUUUUGCUAGUCUUAAAGUGCCUUAAAUCCAACAGAUAUCAUCGUUAUAAUAUUACUUUGUUUGUAAAUUGUUUUAAAAAAUAAAUUUAAAAAUAACUUUUAAA